GCCCCUGCUCCUCCCAGGAGCUCCUAGCUUUUACUGCAUGCACACAGCAGACCUGUGUCCACGCAUCGUGUAAUUGCAGCCUCCUGGGAGCCAGUGCUUCUGGAGUUCUAUUACACAGAGGGAGAAAAUCAGGCUCAGAGAGGUUAAUGCCAGGCCACAGUUAACAGGCAGCUGGAAGGGAAAACAAAAGGAGUGACUGACGGGCACACACUGCGAAACACUCACCUGGCUUCCUACACAUCAGCAAGAUAUGUGUUUCUUGCCAAAGAGCAUCCGGGGAUCCCAGAGCCUGUGCGCCACCCCCUCCCCACCCCCCGGAGCUUCUUCUCUCCUCUUCUUCCCAGGCUAACAUCCUACCAUCUGCUCCCAAGAUGACUGAUAUUGCCCACCUUACUUCCCUGGGGAUGGAUGGGUCCAGGACUCAUCCCUCCCCCAGGUGCUAUAAUUUGAGGCGCUGCCCAGCUGGAAUGGACCCGGGGCCUCCCCAGGCUGCCCUCCCGCCACUGAAGAAAAUUUAACAACUGCUGAAAUCAUUGUUCUUGGACUCCAUCGGAAAGGGCUCUUCUUCCCCACCUCCUUCCUGCCUCCCUCCACAAGGGAGAGUGCAUUUGCCCCAGGGCUUCCACCAGGUCUGGGAGACAGACUAGGGGAGGGCAGGAGAGGGGGCUCAUGAGAUCCUAGCUAUAGGGCUAAGACUGAGGAACCAUCACUCUCCUGACCAUGUGAAUGAGGUUGGUUGAAAACAGGGCUCUUUGAGUUUGAGUUUGAAGUUUUAUGAUUUGUUUUUUCUUCUUCUUCCAUGAAGAGUAAGGAUAAGCACCAAGUGGGUGCCCAGCAAAGGUUGGGUGCAAGACCCUUUGAUGCUUUAUUUGGACAUUACCCACUGCCAGUCCAUCCCCAGAGCCAUGGCCUUGGCUCUCUCCCAGUGAUGAUUUCUGGUUUCCCUUCUCCCCCAGCUGCCUGGGGCAGGCUGAGGAGGAUUCAUAGUGUGGUGUCUAGAGGUUGGAGGGUCAGAAGGAUUCUGGUCCUGGUUAGCUAUGUGACCCUCAGCCAUCCUUUUAAACCUCAGUUUAAAGGGGCCUCAGUUUAAAGGGGCCUCAGUGGGCCUCAGUUACCUUAUAUUUAAGUUUGUUUGUUUAAGAGAGAGAAUGUGCUUGCAGAGGCAGAGGAAGAGGGAGAGACUCCACGCUGGGCCCCCAGAGGCUCAACAUGGGGCUUGAUCCCACAGCCCUGAGAUCCU